rnacentral:rRNA from 1 species
GGGGUGCAGCAGGCGCGAAACCUUUACACUGCACGACAGUGCGAUAGGGGGAUCCCAAGUGCACAGGCAUAGCGCCUGUGCUUUUCGGUACCCUAAGGCGGUACCAGAAUAAGGGCUGGGCAAGACCGGUGCCAGCCGCCGCGGUAAUACCGGCAGCCCAAGUGAUGGCCGAUCUUAUUGGGCCUAAAGCGUCCGUAGCUGGCCACGCAAGUCCAUCGGGAAAUCCACCUGCCCAACAGGUGGACGCCCGGUAGAAACUGCGUGGCUUGGGACCGGAAGGCGCGACGGGUACGUCCGGGGUAGGAGUGAAAUCCCGUAAUCCUGGACGGACCGCCGAUGGCGAAAGCACGUCGCGAGAACGGAUCCGACAGUGAGGGACGAAAGCCAGGGUCUCGAACCGGAUUAGAUACCCGGGUAGUCCUGGCCGUAAACAAUGUCUGCUAGGUGUGGCUCCCACUACGAGUGGGUGCUGUGCCGCAGGGAAGCCGCUAAGCAGAC